GUUACCUACGGGACGCAGCAGUGGGGGAUAUUGCACAAUGUGGGGAACCCUGAUGCAGCGACGCCGCGUGGGUGAAGGAGCGUUUCGGCGCGUAAAGCCCUAUCGGCAGGGAAGAAGGAGGACGGUACCUGACUAAGAAGCCCCGGCUAACUACGUGCCAGCAGCCGCGGUCAUACGUAGGGGGCAAGCGUUAUCCGGAUUUACUGGGUGGAAAGGGGGCGCAGACGGCAGCGCAAGCCAGGAGUGAAAGCCCGGGGCCCA
rnacentral:rRNA from 1 species